rnacentral:lncRNA from 1 species
GAACCUAAACUAGGCAGUUACUGGAUUGAUGCUUCCAGGAUUAUAAGUGAUGUAAAUUGUAGCGCUGUUUCUUGUUAUUUAAUUGUUGUUUACUUCUUCUUCGACUGUUAUAAAUUUAAUAUGUCCUUAUAUUAUUGCUUACCAAGCUUAUGAAAUGCUAUAGAAUCGUUAACCGAGAUCUUGAUCUUCUAAUGGGCUGUUCUGCAAGAAUUAGACUUUUUGUAGAAUUAACCAUUUUGGCAUGAUAUAAUAGGAAAGGUACGCGAUCGUCCUAUCCCUGUCGCUGGGGGGAACGGCGGGUGUGUAGCAAGGGAUUCCAAGACUUCUCGCCAGGUUCGCUAGUGAGUUAGGCUGUUUGCAUCUCAGGAAGAUUUUGUAUUUUUAGUUAUUCGAAAAUGUGUAAGGAAAGUGAAUGAAUUGAAGCGUCAUUUCAGACCUAAGUUUUAGGUACUACAAGAUUGAAAAUAGGGCCAACUGGGAAUUUUUAAUUAAUUUUAGAAAAACCUUAAUUUUUGAAAAUUGCGCCUUUUGCAACAUUCCCAAUUUAUUAAUUUUCUCAUCCGAACAUAUCCGAUAUCAGUUAGAAACGAUUUUUUUCUGUUUUUUCUGUCUUUUGACUUCAACCAAAAGCUAAACACAACUAAAACUUCGACACUCCACACUCCUCACAACUCAUCAUCACAACAAUCAUCCGACACCAUUCCAGAGGGAUUACUAGUCGUGUUCAGUGUUUCGGAUUUUUUUUUUCAAAUCCAAUCCAAAUCAAAUCAAUUAAUUCCGAUCGUUAAUAAAGAUUUGUUUCGGAUUUUUGUUUCAAAUUUUGAAUUUUUUUCUAUACCACCCACCACUGUUUAGUAUUCACCCUUGCCUGUAGUCUGCACUUGAUCCUCGUACCUGGUGUGACUUUUCUUGCUGAAAAAGACCUGACACAUCUUGAACAUUUUUCUACUUUUUUCUGUUUUGUUACAUUAAACAUUUUCGUCCUCGUGUGUUAAAAAAAAACUCUUGAAAGGGGCUAGCCGUGAAACAGGGCUAGCUCGAGUUCAAAGCCAGAACCUAGAGCUGAUCAUGGGGAAGAUGAUAGUAAAACAGUCGAUGAAGCUGGACCAGAGUCUGAAAUUGUACCUGAAGCUGCACCUGAGACACCAAAAGACUCGGUGGGCAUGCCACGCAGCUAAUUCUUGAAGUGACCAGCUUAUCUCUGUCACUUCUUUUUAGACUGGAGAAAGACUAAGGAGCGAUUCUAUGCAAAGUGCAACCUCUGCCUUGGAAACAAGUACCACAUGGGAAUCCAGAGUUCAUUUUCCAACUUCAUUCAACACCUCCAAAUAUUCCACAAAGAAGAGAGGGAUUAUUUUGAGUCCUCUACGGAGUCAAAGCAACCAUCAGUUACGUCAUUUAUCUCACCUCGAGUUGCGAGCCGCGAAAGCAGGGGCAGCUGGAUAGGCUUCUCUGCCAGAUGAUCAUCACAGACAAUCUUCCGCUCAAUAUUGUCAGGAGGCAAGGCUUCCGAUAGCUUUGUACCCUGGUUACAAAAUACCAUCCCUAGAAAACCUCCGAAAGCUUAUCGAUUAGCUUUUUGAACGACCGAAGGCUGCAUUAAGGGACAAGCUGAAACGUGUCAAUUCAACCUCUAUUAUAAUGGACUUGUGGUCUUCCAAAACUACGCGGGAGUACACUCGCUUCCAUAAAUAUGUAGGCCACCGCCCGCGGGUUGUACCGCUUCAAAUAUACCUUUACGGAAUGUUUACUUAAGCUUGUGAAAGGAAGAAAACGGUGAAAUUCUUCAUGCGGACCAAAAACUCGCCCACCUACUCUUGCCAUUUUUAACACAGUGUAGCUUUUCAUAUUUGUAAGAAAAAUUUUAAGGAAAAAAAGCCUUGAAAUAAUAGCUUUUUUGGUUUUCAUACUCAUCCCAUCAUUAUUUUGGUUUCAUAUGUAACCCCUUCCUACUCUAUUGUCGAAUAUACCAUAAAGGCGCGCAUAAAGGUAUUUUUGAAGCGGUACAACCCGCGGGCGGUGGCCUACAUAUUUAUGGAAGCGAGUGUACCAAGGCAUAUCCUGCACGGGCGUGACGGAGGAUAACGAGCCGUUCAACGCUUUCUUAACUCUACGGCAUACGCAAGGAAGGCAUACUAGUGCAGCAAAUUUUGCCGAGUACAAGUCGGUUGUGAAGGACUGGAAUAUCAUCAACAAGUCUACCCAGCUGGGAGGCUGUGCCAUCUUGCGGUGGAAUGCCUUCAACGGACGACACUGACGAGUGUGACGACGAUGACGACGAUGACGACGAUGGCGACGGAUGGGUUGACUUGGAGUUGGAUAUCGACGAGGAAAUCGAGUUGUUGGUGUCGGCCGAUGGCGAGGAUCAGAAAUACAUGCAAUUAAAGUUGAAUCUUGAAGAAAUCUUUGACGAAUACUUUACGACUUCAAAAACAGACCUUCCCUCGUUUCGUGAUUCCGUUCGUCAAGUGUUGCACACACUAUUCAACUCACUGUUAAAGACGGUUUAAAAGCCUCAAAUGUAACAUCAAUUUCUUCCGCCUUAAAACUGGCCUCUAAGACUGCAAAACACUCGACAAGCAUGUUUACUUUCGGCCAGUGUUCUGUCAAAUAAGCUUCUUCGAAUAAAAUUUUCGAUUUUUAAUCAAUUGAAUUGAAUCUUGAUCCUUGAUCUUUCGAAUAAAUGAGUUUUAUUCGUAUUCGUGAUUCUCGAUCUUUUUGAUAAAAAUUAUUCGUUAUUUUAUUCAAUUGUGCGCGAAUAAAUUUUCGAAUAAUUAUCGAAUAGUUUUUACAUUUCGGGAUGCUGUUAAGUUUCGUGUAGGCGUCUGCAUGAAAGACGAAAAUUAUAGUUCGGUCUGUUUCAGUCUAUGUUCAAUCUAGUCUUUUUCACGUGGUCUUUUGGCUUGUUUUGUGAUUUUUGUGAUUUUUUCAAGGUAUUAUAAUUAUUCAUAGACGACGAAGAAGUUUUAUCUUAAUUUUUUUUAAGACAAUACUUUGAAGAGUAAUGAGUGUGAUCGUUCAGAUGCAGACUCAUCUGCAGAUGAAGUUGGGGAUUCCUGUUGGAAACGUCUCCAUUUUUCUUACUUCACAUUUUCAAAGGAAGUUAUGGUAUCUAAACCCAAAAAGAAUACUAAUAUCAGAGGUGAAUGCAAAAAGUGUAAGGCGUCAUGUUCUGGCCAACCAAUCUACUAGCAAUUGGCUAAGUCAUAUCAAGAAACGCAAAGAUUUUCAUGAUGACGACAAAGAAAGAAAGGCAGCAAAGAUAUUGUUCGCAAAAAAAACUGAAGUUUCUUCAAAGACACAAGCCGCAAGAAAUAAAAGAGAGAAAGUAAGACAGGUGAAAUUAGACUUCCCCUCUUCUAAGGCUCCUACUAAAUUUACGCAAAUAGAGCAAAAACGAGUUGAUCAGUUGAUUACGGAUUACGUAAUCAGCAAAGCGCGUCCCUUAAGCACGGUUGAUGACCCUGCUUUUAUUGCUAUGGUGCAUGGACUAAAUCCAAAGGCAAAUGUGACGGGUGCGAGAAAAUUAAGAUCCAUGGUCGAAGAAGAACGACAAAAAUUCCUAGAUAAAGUAAUUAAUGACUUGAGUUCUGCCAAAUACGUUUGUCUGAAAGCAGACAUUUGGUUCGCCUCACACCGUGGGUGGAUCGGCAUUACUGCUCAUUGGCUCGACUCAAAAGAAUUAAGAAAUUCAAGAUUAGAGAAAAGGUUUGCUGCAUUGUUACGGAUAAUGGAGCAAACAUUAAGA